rnacentral:rRNA from 1 species
AUUGAACGCUGGCGGCAUGCCUAACACAUGCAAGUCGAACGGCAGCACGGCAGUAGCAAUACUGUGGGUGGCGAGUGGCGGACGGGUGAGGAAUACGUCGGAAUCUGCCCAGUCGUGGGGGAUAACUAGCCGAAAGGUUAGCUAAUACCGCAUACGACCGAGAGGUGAAAGCGGGGGACCGCAAGGCCUCGCGCGAUUGGAUGAGCCGACGUCGGAUUAGCUAGUUGGUGGGGUAAAGGCCCCACCAAGGCGACGAUCCGUAGCUGGUCUGAGAGGAUGAUCAGCCACACUGGAACUGAGACACGGUCCAGACUCCUACGGGAGGCAGCAGUGGGGAAUAUUGGACAAUGGGCGCAAGCCUGAUCCAGCAAUGCCGCGUGUGUGAAGAAGGCCUCGGGUUGUAAAGGCUCUGUCGCACCGGGAAUAAGACAGUGAAUG